GAUGAAGAACGUAGCGAAAUGCGAUAAGUAAUGUGAAUUGCAGAAUUCAGUGAACCAUCGAAUCUUUGAACGCACAUUGCGCCCGGCAGUAAUCUGCCGGGCAUGCCUGUCCGAGCGUCAUUUCUACCCUCGAGCGAGUCCAGCAUCUAGGUGCUGGGCCUCGCCCGGCGUUGGAGCACUACGGGAAGCCCUGUGCUGUCCCCCGUAGGCCCCGAAAUGAAGUGGCGGUCCUGCCGCGGCGCCCCCUGCGUAGUAUAACAGCUCGCUUCGGGACCCGGUGGAGGCCUGCCGUCAAACCUAUACUCUCUAAGUUUGACCUCGGAUCAGGUAGGGUUACCUGCUGAACUUAAGCAUAUCAAUAAGCGGAGGA
rnacentral:misc_RNA from 1 species